rnacentral:rRNA from 1 species
GGUGAACGCUGGCGGCGUGCCUAACACAUGCAAGUCGAGCGGUACAGUUUGAAGCUUCGGUGGAGAGCUGUAUAGCGGCGGACGGGUGAGUAAAGCGUAGGAACGUGCCCCUCGGAGUUGGAUAGCCAUGGGAAACUGUGGGUAAACCGACAUAGACUCGGGAGAGUAAAGGCCGAAAGGCGCCGAGGGAGCGGUCUGCGUCCCAUCAGGUAGUUGGUAGGGUAAAGGCCUACCAAGCCGACGACGGGUAACCGGUCUGAGAGGAUGGCCGGUCACAAGGGCACUGAGAGACGGGCCCUACUCCUACGGGAGGCAGCAGUGGGGGAUUUUGGACAAUGGGCGAAAGCCUGAUCCAGCGACGCCGCGUGGAGGACGAAGCCCUUCGGGGUGUAAAGCUCUUUCGGCCGGGAAGAAAUCGCAUGGGUUAAUACCCUGUGUGGAUGACGGUACCGGAAUAAGAAGCACCGGCUAACUACGUG